rnacentral:lncRNA from 1 species
GUUGUGUUGGAUAGUGUUGGGAGAGGGAUUGGCAAGCUUUACCAAGUCGGGGUGCCUGUUGCCCGUAAUGGCUCCGUUUUCGGCGUGAUUGGGAAUGGUGGGGGGAUCCGCCCCGUGCCUGGGGGGACAGGAGUGUGCAGGAUCCCUUUGGUUGGCACGCGGGAUGGUGUGCGGAGGGCGUGCAUUGGUGUCGCCUGCGGGCAGUUGGGGGAGAGACUUGGGCAGCAUCUCCAUGAUGUUGCAUCUGGGGGGGCAUCUGCUGCACUCGGCGGCACGGCGCUUCAGAGGAGCAUCGACGUCCUGUGGAGCCGGGCCGCUGUUUUGGAGAGUGGCAUCGGGAGGGACUGUAUUUGCGAAGAAUGGCACAUCUUUGAGGAGGGCUUUGAGGCGGACA